CACACUUUCUUCCAAACUUUCAUAUUUGGGGCUGAAGUGCUCUCCUAUUGAAAGAGAUCAACAAACUGAUCAAAUAAUCUCUUAGACAGAUUGUUUUGGGUUAUUUCUUUAAAAAAUCAUAUGUAAGGAUAAUUAUUUUCUCAAAAAUUGCUAAAUAUUUUAGAUUGUGAGAUGCAUUUUUACGUGCAAUUGCAGCUGACUAUGCUCCCCUCAUCCAUAUUCUGAACACUAAAGAAAAAGCAAAUCUGAGCUCCAAAAGCUGUUUCAUUUGCUAAUGAGUAUCACCUUAUUAAGCAUGCAAAGGGGAAUUUUGUCAGCUGAGAAAUGUUGUGUGUUUUGAUAGUUCAGAAUACAGGUGACAUACUUCUACCUUUCACCUGUUCCACCUAAGCACUGGGAUGUGACCACAAAAAUGAUCCAAAGGACAGUCUGGGGCUGUUCAGCCUGGAGAAGAGAAGGCUCUGGGGAGGCCUGAGAGUGGCCUUUCACUAUCUAAAAGGGGGGAUGUAAGAUAGAAGGGGACUGACUUUUUGGAAGAGUCUGUCAUGAUAGGACAGAAAGAAACAAUUUCAAAGAAAAAGAGGGGAGAUUUAGAUUGGUUGUAAAGAGAAAGUUUUUUUACAGUAAGGGGAGUGAGGCACUGGCACAGGUUGCCCAGAGAGCCCGAUCCCUGUAGACAUUCAAGGUCAUCAGGCUGGAUGGGGCUCUGAGCACCUGCUCUAGCUGUAGGUGUCCCUGUUUGUUUCAGGGGGUUGGACUAGAUGGCCUUUAAAGGUUCCUUCCAACUCAAUGAUUUCAUGAUUCUCUGAUUCUAUGUCUGCUAUGUGACUUUUGAUCUCUAACACACCCUGUAUGUCUCUACAUCUUUCGCAUCAUUUGAACGUUCCACUUUUAUUUUCAGUUAAUCCCUUGCUAGUUUUGAGGGUGUUCCUGAGGACUGAUCAUUUUUCCCUUCUUCUCAUUCAUCAGAUGAGACAGAAGUUCUUACUUUGUCAUCUGUAACAUGUACUUUUCUCAGCUUGUGUUUGUGUGUAUAGUUUGGAGUUCAUGGAAAAAACAAAUUCCAUUAUGAUGUACUUUCUCUUAUCCAUUAUGUUCUUUCAGCAGCCAAGAAACCAUUAUUUAUACAGCAGUUAUUUUGGAAAAAAUGCAUUCCCAGAAUUCUGACACAGGAUUACAACACUUUUAUGUGUUAAGGAUAAAAGAUAAUCACCUAACAGAGGAUUUAUCUUUCGAAAUGGACUGAAUUAAAAGACCAAGGAGGACAUCUUUCUACCAGCAAAUCCAGUGCCAAUCCAAAAUAAAUCUCCUGAAUCCACUGGAAUCAUUUGGGAUUUACACCGUGGUGUACAGGGAACGGCGCUUCAUUGAUGGCUGGGCAGAAGCAGCCCUCAUACUGUGCUGCAAGGAGCACAGACAAAAGAGGGGAGCCAGCAGGGUCUGCUCUAUGCCCAUAGUCAGGAUGAGAAAAGGAAGCAGAUCUCCGCACUGUAUAUCCUGCUUAAGGAAAGUACAGCAACAGAAAAAUCCCCUACUAAACUGCAUGAAAAUAAAACUAUGAAUAGACUUGAAAUAUUUGGAUGCAAGUUUGGUUUCAUAUUUUACUUUCUGCAGUCUGGCUGUAAAAUGACAUCAGCAGUCAGCUCACAGCUUUAUAGCUGUGCAUUUGUCACUAUGCCUAGAGGUGUGAGGGGUGGUUGUCUGCCCACCUUCCCAGGGCACCUUCUCAGUGAUUCAGACCAUAAGGUUCAGUUCUUGUGACUGAGGAAAAAUAGGGCAUCACAUCCAAAAAACUUCUGCUCUGAGAAAGAGUCUGGCAGAUCAUAGUAACAGAAAGAAAAAAUUGCAGUGAUCUAAUAUUCCUAUUAUGUUACGAUUAUCUGCAGAGCUCUGGCUCUGCAGUCUUUCUCUCUUUCUCUUGUUCUAAUCCAUGUAGGCAUUUCUAUUAUGCCUGUCACCAUAGCAUCUGAAUGCCUUCCAAGCAAGAGGAAAUACUACCUCCUUUUUUUUUGCCAUCAGCAAAAUACGAACAUUAUCUGAGCUAGAAUGGGGUCUCCUGCAACUGUCAGCAUGCCAAGAAGGAGUACAUGGCAACUUAUUUCAGAUACAGCACCUCAUUCUCCAGUCUUUUUUCUGUUCCAUUUAUGUACUGCAUUGGGUCUUUCUGUGACAAGAACAAGUUGAUGACUGUGGUAUUAAUAGGAUGUUUAUAUAAUGAAUAGUUCUUUAACUAUAGCAACAAGUUUAAGUAUGCAGUAGCAACUCAAGAAGUGCUUGUGAUAAACUGGAUAACUCCUCCCAGAAGAACAACAGUCACCUGCUUUAUUUAUAUUGCAAAGGGUAGUUAAAUGUAAGAUACUGCUUGCAUUACUGUGUCUGUCUUCUAUAUGGUUUUGUCAUACAGUCUCUGUGGAAAGACAGACCUACUCUAAGUCAGAAAAUAAUCACAAGUCACUGUGUGAUAGAUGCUUUAGUCAUGCUUUGUACAAUUUAAAUCUCAUGAAAAGAUGCUCAAAUUGUAAGUUGUUCUGUCUUGACAGGACUUUAAUUAGUUUCAAAUCAGUCAGCUCCUGUUCAGCUAUUGACCAGGGAAGUAGACUUGAGUCCUCUCACCUCCAUUCAAUGUUUCAAAAUGAAUGAACCUUGUGACAAUGCUUUGUUUGCAUUUUCACUGCAUAGAGAGAGAGGCAGGGAGGUAACGUGUAAAGGUCUUUAGAAUUUUAAAAAUAUUUAUUUUAUCUUCAUUCUUCAUAUUAGUAAUUCGAACUGUUGUACAUAUACUUCAAGAAUGAGACAGGAAGAAUAUUGUUCACUUCUUUCUUUCUCUCUCUUUUUUUUAAUUUUCAGAAGAGUCCUCUGAAACCUUAUUUGCAUUGAAAAUACUUAUUGAAAAGCUGAGCCUCAUGUCUGGGUUCCUGUUCUACUCAGAGGAUGUAAUUUUGCUUUGUAAAUUGGUCUCUCAUCUUGAAUGAGCAAAUAAGCAUCCUGGUGGAUGCCAAUUAGAUGAACUUUUGUAUCCCAAGUAGAACUGCUGAGAGCAAUUUUGAUGGACUGAUUUUGCAUUUGAAUAUGCUUUCAACUGGAUCUAAAACACAUUUUAAAAUCAGAUUGACCUCUCUAGAGUUUUUCUGAAGAAAAAAUUCCAGUUGUGUUCAGACAUUUUAUUUGGACAGUUUCAGAGGAAGACAUUUUGAUUUUUGUUUAGUUCCUAAGGCUUUUUUUUGUUCACAGCCCAAACGCCACAACUUAAAAAGUCAGUGUGAAAAUAUUUCAAUUUUGCUAAAAGUAAACAUUGAGAAUGACUGCAUGUAUGUUGUUUGCCUGCUUUUGAGUUUUAUCUUCAAGGAAAAGUCUGGAACACUGAUUCUUAUCAGAAUAAAG
ensembl:lncRNA